rnacentral:rRNA from 1 species
GAUGAACGCUGGCGGCGUGCUUAACACAUGCAAGUCGAACGGAAAGGCCCAAGCUUGCUUGGGUACUCGAGUGGCGAACGGGUGAGUAACACGUGGGUGAUCUGCCCUGCACUUCGGGAUAAGCCUGGGAAACUGGGUCUAAUACCGGAUAGGACGAUGGUUUGGAUGCCAUUGUGGAAAGUUUUUUCGGUGUGGGAUGAGCUCGCGGCCUAUCAGCUUGUUGGUGGGGUAAUGGCCUACCAAGGCGUCGACGGGUAGCCGGCCUGAGAGGGUGUACGGCCACAUUGGGACUGUGAUACGGCCCAGACUCCUACGGGAGGCAGCAGUGGGGAAGAUUGCACAAUGGGCGCAAGCCUGAUGCAGCGACGCCGCGUGGGGGAUGACGGCCUUCGGGUUGUAAACUCCCUUCGCUAGGGACGAAGCGUUUUUGUGACGGUACCUGGAGAAGAAGCACCGGCUAACUACGUG